rnacentral:lncRNA from 1 species
GCCUAGUAACUGUUAACUGAGGAAUGACUGAAUGGGUGGAUGCACAAUGUGUCAAACAUGCUGAUAAUUCACAAAUUUUUAUCUCCCAGCGCAGAGCUUUUAUGCAGAUGACUGAACCCGUGGAGUUAGGUGGCUGAGAGGAUGCAGCUUCCCAGGUCUCUACAACUGAUGGCAGCAAGAUGGGAGCACCCAGCUACAGUGUUCAGAAGUAGAUUUAGGCAGACUACCACACCUUACAUGCUAGAGGGAUCCACACUGACCUGAGUAGGGCAGGAUAUUGAUGUACAACAAGAUUCUCUGAUCAGAAAGAGAGGCAGAACUAGCAGCCUGGCUUCAGAGGUGAAGAUACAGAUGUCAGUAGUGACCCAGGUGCAGUGGAUCCCCAGGUUGCAAGUCAUAUAACCUGAGCAUGCCCAGAUGAACCAAGUAUGCCUGAUUGGUGAACCUGGAACUGGCCAGAACAGAAAAUGUCAACCACAUGUGGAAUCUAAGUAUUCAGAUUGAGAAAUGAGGACCAAAAUGAGAAGGAUGGGAGCACUCAGCUUCAGUGUUCAGAAGCAGAUUUAGGCCAAUUGCCAUACCUUACGUUCUGGAGGGAUCCACCCUGACCUGAGCAGGAGGCAUCACACACAUUCCCAAGCAGCAUGGUUCCCGUGAGAAACUGAAAACUAAUUUCUUGAAUCUACAAUGCGACUUCCAUCUUCCAGGUGUAACCAGAGUUUUUCCUGGAGCGAUUCCAGCUUGUUUCCUUUUGGUGCCUUCCUUAAGAAAUUUUGCAGCUGUUUCUGGUGCAGUUUUUGGGUGGGCUCUGGGGUGGGCAGACGAUCUCCACUUUGCAGAGGCUGCUCUUGUGAGUGGAGCUGGUGGUGAGGGAGUAGGAGAGGCCUCGCAUCAUCCUGGCAUUCAGGCCCUUAGCCAUGGAGAAGGACUUGAGGUGGCUUCUUAAGGUACUGGGGAGCGGGAGCUUGUCCACCAGAUGCACAGGUGUGCAGGACACGAUGGUGCGGCAGCAGAGGUCUUGCAAGCUCAGUACCUUGCUCGGCCUCCCGAGCCAAUUCAUCCUGUGCCGCAGCAGCACUAUCCUGGCCAGCUCCGUGAAAGACUCUAUGAUGUUGAAAUUGCACAGAGGGCUGACCUCAAAGAAGGUCACACCCAGGCG